rnacentral:rRNA from 1 species
AUGAUGCUCCUCCUUUUCACUAUUGGGUCGAGCUCCCUCGCCGUGGAGGACUUCAUCGAGAACAACAUGAGGCAUUGCGCGUGGCUGAAGCCCGAGACGUGCGAGCGGUACAAGGCCUCCGGCGUACUUACCUUGCUGGCGUGGGCUUUCACUGCCCUGGUCGCCUGUGUUAUGCUUCGUCAGCAAAGGAUCUGGGAUGAAGACGCCGCCACCGCUGAUGCAUGA